rnacentral:miRNA from 1 species
CCCACCAAACGAUGACUGAUUUCCUUUGGUGCUUAGAGUCCCAUCUGUCAUCUAGCACCAUUUGAAAUCGGUUAUAAUGACUGGGGAUCAAUUCUUCA